CACCCUUUGAAAACUUUGUUCUUUGGUUCUUUGCAAUAAAUGUUGCUGCUGCUCACUCUUCGGGUCUGCACUGGCUUUAUGAGCUGUAACACUCACUGCGAAGGUCUGCAGCUUCACUCCUGGAGCCAGUGAGACCCCGAGCCCACCGGGAGGACCGAAGAACUUCAGAUGCGCCGCGUUAAGAGCUGUAACACUCACCGCGAAGGUCUGCAGCUUCACUCCUGAGCCAGCGAGACCACGAACCCACCAGAAGGAAGAAACUCGGAACACAUCCGAAUAUCAGUAGGAACAAACUCCGGACACGCCGCUUUUAAGAACUGUAACACUCACCUCGAGGGUCCGCGGCUUCAUUCUUGAAGUCAGGGAGACCAAGAACCCCCCAAUUCCGGACACAGGGGGACUUGGCUGCUUCCUGUUUCUAUCAUAGACGCAGCUGGCCUCAGAAUAUUCCACUUAUGGAUGAAAGAAUGAUAGUGUUAUUUUAUGGAAGAAUUUAAGAAGAUGUUGCGGUAUCAUCGACUUUAUUUUUUGUUCAUUCUGAAAAUCACAUCGCCAGAUCCAACACCUUUUUAUCCCAAUCACCAGUACAAGCCACCCGUAUCAGUGUACACUGUGGCUGACCGAUCCAUAGUGAUGCUUUGAGCACAAGGAAGGACUUUCUGGAAUCUACUUAUCUGACCAAGAAAGCUUCUUUCCAAAAGAAAUGCAAUUGUCUUGAGACUUCUUCCCUAGGGAUCUGAUCAACUAACCAGAAAAGAGCAACCACCAGAGAAGAGACUGUGGGUGUCAUUGUGACUGGCUGCUACCUCCCCAUGAGUCUUCUAAAAUAAAACCUGCAAAUUCACAUCUUCCCCAUGCUUCCAGAGAAUGCAUAUUCUUCCUUUGAAAAAAGAAAACCAGGUAGUCGUACAGUGUCCAGAAGGCAAAAGGACAAGUAUGCACUGCCCUACUUACCUACUUUCCACACUGCUGCACAGGAAAAUCUGACAGAGGACAAUAACAAACAUCUCACCAGCUCAUGCGUUCUUUUUUGAUCCUAAUUCCGAGAGACUCACCAAAGACAUGAAGAGAAAACAAACAAUACUUUUCUUGGAAAUAUUGUAAUUGCUGGUACAUUUGUUGUUCUGGCAUAAAGUAGAAAUUGUCAGUUACCAGAACAAUACUCAGUGAACUUAUGAAUAUAUGGUAAAUAUUAAACACAUCCCACUUGGAUGAGAAGAUAUGUGAGUCGAUGAGUAUAGCUAAGUCUAAAGUUAGAUGUGUUCCAUAAACAUAGUGUUUAUGGAGUUGGUGCAUAUUCAC
rnacentral:lncRNA from 1 species